rnacentral:tRNA from 1 species
GUCAAGAUAGCUCAGUUGGUAGAGCAGAGGACUGAAAAUCCUCGUGUCACUAGUUCAAAUCUGGUUCCUGGCA